AUUGAACGCUGGCGGCAGGCCUAACACAUGCAAGUCGAGCGGAUGAAGAGAGCUUGCUCUCUGAUUUAGCGGCGGACGGGUGAGUAAUGCCUAGGAAUCUGCCUGGUAGUGGGGGAUAACGUUCCGAAAGGAACGCUAAUACCGCAUACGUCCUACGGGAGAAAGUGGGGGAUCUUCGGACCUCACGCUAUCAGAUGAGCCUAGGUCGGAUUAGCUAGUUGGUGAGGUAAUGGCUCACCAAGGCGACGAUCCGUAACUGGUCUGAGAGGAUGAUCAGUCACACUGGAACUGAGACACGGUCCAGACUCCUACGGGAGGCAGCAGUGGGGAAUAUUGGACAAUGGGCGAAAGCCUGAUCCAGCCAUGCCGCGUGUGUGAAGAAGGUCUUCGGAUUGUAAAGCACUUUAAGUUGGGAGGAAGGGUUGUAGAUUAAUACUCUGCAAUUUUGACGUUACCGACAGAAUAAGCACCGGCUAACUUCGUGCCAGCCGCCGCGGUAACAC
rnacentral:rRNA from 1 species